AACAAAGCUAUAGGUUUAGUAUAUACACACGUUACUAUAUAAACAAAGCUAAAGGUUUAGUAUAUACACACGUGACUAUAUAAACAAAGCUAUAGGUUUAGUAUAUACACACGUUACUAUAUAAACAAAGCUAAAGGUUUAGUAUAUACACACGUUACUAUAUAAACAAAGCUAUAGGUUUAGUAUAUACACACGUUACUAUAACAACAAAGCUAUAGGUUUAGUAUAUACACACGUUACUAUAUAAACAAAGCUAUAGGUUUAGUAUAAUCACACGUGACUACAGAGACAAAGCUAUAUGUUUAGUAUAUACACACGUUACUAUAUAAACAAAGCUAAAGGUUUAGUUUAUACACACGUGACUAUAUAAAUACAGCUAUAGGUUUAGUAUAAACACACGUGACUAUAUAAACAAAGCUAAAGGUUUAGUAUAUACACACAUGACUAUAUAAACAAAGCUAUAGGUUUAGUAUAUACACACGUGACUAUAUAAACAAAGCUAUGAGUUUAAUAUAAUCACACGCUACUAUAUA